rnacentral:rRNA from 1 species
CGGACGGGUGAGUAACGCGUGGAUAACCUGCCUCACACUGGGGGAUAACAGUUAGAAAUGGCUGCUAAUACCGCAUAAGCGCACAGUACCGCAUGGUACGGUGUGAAAAACCCAGGUGGUGUGAGAUGGAUCCGCGUCUGAUUAGCCAGUUGGCGGGGUAACGGCCCACCAAAGCGACGAUCAGUAGCCGACCCGAGAGGGUGACCGGCCACAUUGGGACUGAGACACGGCCCAA